AUCUUUUAGUUCUUGAAUGUGUUCAGGAUCUUCCAAUGUGUCGGGUCGAUUUCCACUUUCCCAUCUCUCUGGACUGACCAAAAGAUAAGAUUUUUGGUCAAUCAUCAUUUGCAGAUCUUCUGCAGCUUUAUGAACCUCCUGAAGCAGGUCUCCAGGGCCGAGUUUUUCCAUUCUUUCUACUUUUUCUCCCAGCAGGCGUAACACUUUAGCUCCUUCAUUCCCUACCCUUUGAAUCUCGUUCUUAAAAACCUGCCUUAAUUCAGAUGAUGCCUGCAAAUGAAACUUUGGCCUGUUUGGUACGUUGAGUAGGAUGAGAUAAUAUAAUAAACAAGGUUUCAGUUUAAAAAUACAUUGAGCAUCUGAAAAUUUAGGCGUCUCUCACCAUAAAGACAAAUAGGAAGACAGACAAAAAUAAAAUUUAAAUGGGGUAACAACAUCCAAAUAAGAAUGAAGAUGGUAUAACUGAAAUGAAUAGAAUGAGCAAAAUUAGUUUUAUUACCCCAAUCUCUGAAAGUAUACUCCCAUGCAUUGCCAUAACCAUGAAUGUACAAUGCCUAAGAGCGCCACUAGCUUUAACAUAUGCACUCCAAGGAUAAUUGAACAUUUUGUAAGGUCCAUGUGGUGGCUCCCAUUCUGCAAAACCAAGCUAGAAAGGAAAAAAGAAAACCUUAACGAUACCAAUUCUUGAAAGGGAAAUUUUUUCAGUCAGAAAAUAAAAUACUUGGAACCAUGUAAGCACAGCAUACCAGAGAAUCCUCUUGGCUUGUAGAUUCCAAUACGGCUCUAUAUCCACUAUAUAAAGGAUCGUCUGAAGCUUGAUAGAGAAGAAUUUUCGACGGUAUCCUAGUAUAUUCAAUAGAUUGUAAAUACAUAUUGACACAACCUAUACAAAGGAUUACAGUUACGAGUCAAGAUCAAAACUAAAAGCCAUCAAGAUAGAAAAAAAAAUAAAAAAUAAAAACUAACCUUCCAGAGAAUUUGCAACUCCCUUAAAAUUUUUCACCACCAAUUUGUGCAAAUCCUCACCGGCCCAUAUUGGGUAAACACAUAUAUUUACAAGUAAACAAACACCAGCUCCAACUGCAAUUAACAGCAAUCUAGAAACGGCCGUUUGAACAAAAUGGGAACUUCCAGAAACCAAUACAAUACAGAAGGUCAACAAGAAAACCCGGAAUCCAUAUUCAUAAGACUUCAUUGGAGGGUACAACUUCAAAUAAGUUGCACAAAAUCCUAAGAAGCAGAAACAUUUAAAGCUCAAUCAAUUGAAAUUUUCAUUAUCAACAAAAAGAAAUGCAUCUAACGGCUUCUUACUGACACUAACACAUCUUAUAGAAUUCUUCAUUAUGGAAAAAACCUGCAAUAAAGAUGCUGAGAACAAUUACAACUUCUUGCAAUUGUCCUACCAACUCUGACAAUUCAGCAAUGCCCAAAGCUAGUGCUCCAGCGGAUAAUGUCCCAAGUGCUCGAUUAAAUCCUUUAUUUAGCGUAGCCCCUACAUAUAUGCACCAACAAAUCCAACAUACAUGUUCAUGGAUCAAAUCGUGCAGAUCAAAUAAAGAAAAAAAAAAAAAACGUAAGUUCAUUACACUUUUCUUACCUAUGCUAAAUUCAAAUACUACAACAACGGUGAGGAUAGCCCAUAUAGAGUAUUGACCAAUAUAAUUCAAUGGUUCUCUGAAGAAAAUGAGAAGUGAAACAAAGGAGAGAGUAAGACCCAUUUUAGCUGCAAACACCACUUUUCUUGGAUCAGACCAACCCAUUUCAUACGCCUUGAGUGCAGCUUGUUGAAACUCACUACAAGAUUUGGCAACUCUGUCACAAAUAGAUAGAAAAAACCUUUGCCAACAACCUUCAUGGCGACCAAAUCCUCUGUUGUCUGAAUAUCCUUUACUGGGUAACAAUGUUUCUUUGCUUCUUUCUGCAAAGCUUUGUGCCAUUUCUUUGAUAACACUUGUUUUCUGAUGUACUUCUCUUAAAAAAAAAUAAACAAAGAGUUAAUUAUUGAAGCGUGUAGAGGUCUGAGUUAUUUGUUCUGAAAGGCCAAUAUUUUAACUUAUCUGGAUGAUUGGAUCUCGACAGUUCGGGGUGGUUGUACUUUUGGAGUGGGGUCAUGGAUCCCUUGUGAUGAAAGGAUUGUGGUGAAUCAUUAUCGUAAAUGAAAUGAAUGGGAGUCGCGUGUCAUGAUUUACCUUUUAUGCACUUCUUGUAUUAAUAAGUUUAAAAGUUAAUUAUUCAUAUUUGACUAGUUUAUUUGAGAAUGAUUAUUAAUACAAAUGUUGCUAUAAAAAAAUAUCUUUGCUGAUAAAAGAUUGAUAAUCACAAACAGAUUGUAUUGCAAGAAAAACAUAUUAAUAAAAAUAAUGCAAAAUCAAAUUUACUUUUAUGACGUCAUUUGCAUAAUGGCACUAUAAAUAAUUAAUUAAACCCAUAUUUCACUUAGAUAAAAAGAGAAUUAAUUUUUUAAUAGAUUUCAAUAAAAAUUGAUGAAUGUAAACUUAUGAAAUGUAUAACUAAAAUUAAUUAUUAUUUUUGACUUUUAUUUUAAUCUAAUUUUUUAAAUAAACCAACAGCAGCUAAGAAAGAGACAAGAAUUUCGAAGAAAAGCUUGUUCACUAAUUACAGGUAUGUAUCAGAAAUUGAAAAUGGGCUGCUAAUUUUCAACUUGCAAAAUACUCAGACCAUGCAAUAAAAGAGCAUGUUCUUAUUCUUGUUUACGUACGAAAGAGAUGCAAUGAACAAGACUUUCUUCACACCACACCUGCACUUGAUACUGCUCAGGCUUGAAGCCUAUUCCUUUCUUCCAUCGUCUUGAUUAAAAGGAUAAAAAAUAGAAACAGGACUAGAGGAAAAUGCAAAUCCACGUGAAAUGAUGAAGUUUACGAGAUUCUGAAGCCUUGCAACAAACUCUAUCAACAAAGAAGUGAAUGUUGCCAGUGAUAAUGCACUUGCACUUUCAUAUGUCAGUAAUUCACGUUCAUUGAGAAUGUUAUCACCUAUCAAUGAGAGUCGUGAAGGCCACAUUGUCUGAUGUUUGAGCACGUUUUCUCCAGAAACACACUGGGGAACGGCGAGAUUACUGCCCAUGUACGGGUCGUGAGGAUCAUAGUCUCUCAAUGUCUGGGUUGAUUUUAGGUUGGGAGUUGAUUCACUUGGAGAAUUUACCACAGAAGGUUGGUGCUCAUUAUCUUUUAGUUCUUGAAUGUGUUCAGGAUCUUCCAAUGUGUCGGGUCGAUUUCCACUUUCCCAUCUCUCUGGACUGACCAAAAGAUAAGAUUUUUGGUCAAUCAUCAUUUGCAGAUCUUCUGCAGCUUUAUGAACCUCCUGAAGCAGGUCUCCAGGGCCGAGUUUUUCCAUUCUUUCUACUUUUUCUCCCAGCAGGCGUAACACUUUAGCUCCUUCAUUCCCUACCCUUUGAAUCUCGUUCUUAAAAACCUGCCUUAAUUCAGAUGAUGCCUGCAAAUGAA
rnacentral:lncRNA from 1 species